GCACUGAGAAAAUUAACAUUCAUUGCUUAUUUAUAAUUUUUACGUUACGAUUACUUUUAAGUCCAUCUUUAUAUAAAUGUUAGAUCUUUACGUCGAAAAUAUUUUUUAUUGUAACUCGCCUUAAAUUCUUACUUAUUGGCUGCACUUUGAUUUGUAAUUUUCUAAAAAGUUUGUAAAUUCACCUUAAAGUGAAUUUAAGACAACGGUAUACAAGCUUUAUAAAGUAAGUAGUAUUUUCUUGGUGGUUAUCAAUUAUAUGGUAAGUUCCCCUAAAGUAUUUUCUCAGCCGCCAUAAUAUUUAAGUUUGAGUCUGAUGGUAAACAUUAAUCCUUGCUAUAUAAGUAUAAUCUCCGUAUAGCCGGGUCUCUAAUCCAGGUUUAUUUGUUGGAGUUUGGCUAGCCUAAAACUAAGUAAACUAACAUAACUAUUAGUAUUUCACCACAUAAUAAUUUUUUGUAAAUUUUAGUGUCAGCAACACAUUAUAACAAUUACUUUAGAUUUAUUUAUUAGGUCUGACCGCGGUUGCUGGCACCUAAUAAACCUAAACUAUAUAAUUAUCUAAAUCUAAUUUUCAUUAAUUUUUAAAAUUUUUAACUGGAUUAUUUUAUUAACAUUCCAUAUUAAAUUAGACUAUAAACCUAAUGUCACAUCAUAUUAAAGUGAUAGGAUCUAUGGGGGAAUAUACCAUUUUAGG
rnacentral:rRNA from 1 species